rfam:Trichobilharzia regenti genome assembly, scaffold: TRE_scaffold0000376
AUCCAGGUAGCUGACGAGUCCCAAAUAGGACGAAAUGCGCGUUAUCCUGGAU